rnacentral:RNase_P_RNA from 1 species
GCGGGCGGUUGGAUGGCCGCGUCGGUCCUUCGGGGCCGUCGAGGAAAGUCCGGGCUCCACGGAGACACGGCGCCGGGUAACGCCCGGCCGGGGAGGCGCGAGGGAGACCGAAGGCCGAACCCGAGGGAAAGCGCCACAGAAAACAAACCGCCGCGCCUCGGCGCGGCAAGGGUGAAACGGUGGGGUAAGAGCCCACCGCGCCCCCGGCGACGGGGGCGGCAUGGCAAGCCCCGCCGGGAGCAAGAUCGCAUAGGGGCCGCACAUGGGGCGUCUUCGCCCUGCGGCCCGGGUUGAUCGCAAGAACCCGUCGGCGACGGCGGGUCCAGAUGAAUGGCCAUCCACGGGGCCGCGAGGCCCCCGGACAGAACCCGGCUUACAGACCGCCCGCACCG